GUGCUUGCUCCGGCAGCACAUAUAUUAAAAUGAGAACAAUACAGAGAAGAUUAGCAUGGCCCCUUUGCAAGGAUGACAUGCAAAUUUGUGAAGCGUCCCAUAUUUUG
ensembl:snRNA U6 U6 spliceosomal RNA